CUUGAAAUACCACCCUUUAAUGUUUGAUGUUCUAACGUUGGCCCCUGACCGGGGUUGCGGACAGUGUCUGGUGGGUAGUUUGACUGGGGCGGUCUCCUCCCAAAGCGUAACGGAGGAGCACGAAGGUUAGCUAAUCCUGGUCGGACAUCAGGAGGUUAGUGCAAUGGCAUAAGCUAGCUUGACUGCGAGCGUGACGGCGCGAGCAGGUGCGAAAGCAGGUCAUAGUGAUCCGGUGGUUCUGAAUGGAAGGGCCAUCGCUCAACGGAUAAAAGGUACUCCGGGGAUAACAGGCUGAUAC
rnacentral:rRNA from 1 species